rnacentral:rRNA from 1 species
UACGGAGGGUGCGAGCGUUGUCCGGAAUCACUGGGCGUAAAGGGCGCGUAGGCGGCCGUGUAAGUCACUUGUGAAAUCCCCGGGGCUCAACUCCGGGGCUGCAGGUGAGACUGCGUGGCUAGAGCUUGGUAGAGGCGAGUGGAAUUCCCGGUGUAGCGGUGGAAUGCGUAGAUAUCGGGAAGAACACCGGUGGCGAAGGCGGCUCGCUGGGCCAAUGCUGACGCUGAGGCGCGAAAGGCGUGGGGAGCAAACAGG